GAUGAACGCUGGCGGCGUGCCUAAUACACGCAAGUCGAGCGAACGGACGAGAAGCUUGCUUCUCUGAUGUUAGCGGCGGACGGGUGAGUAACACGUGGAUAACCUACCUAUAAGACUGGGAUAACUUCGGGAAACCGGAGCUAAUACCGGAUAAUAUUUUGAACCGCAUGGUUCAAAAGUGAAAGACGGUCUUGCUGUCACUUAUAGAUGGAUCCGCGCUGCAUUAGCUAGUUGGUAAGGUAACGGCUUACCAAGGCAACGAUGCAUAGCCGACCUGAGAGGGUGAUCGGCCACACUGGAACUGAGACACGGUCCAGACUCCUACGGGAGGCAGCAGUAGGGAAUCUUCCGCAAUGGGCGAAAGCCUGACGGAGCAACGCCGCGUGAGUGAUGAAGGUCUUCGGAUCGUAAAACUCUGUUAUUAGGGAAGAACAUAUGUGUAAGUAACUGUGCACAUCUUGACGGUACCUAAUCAGAAAGCCACGGCUAACUACGUGCCAGCAGCCGCGGUAAUACGUAGGUGGCAAGCGUUAUCCGGAAUUAUUGGGCGUAAAGCGCGCGUAGGCGGUUUUUUAAGUCUGAUGUGAAAGCCCACGGCUCAACCGUGGAGGGUCAUUGGAAACUGGAAAACUUGAGUGCAGAAGAGGAAAGUGGAAUUCCAUGUGUAGCGGUGAAAUGCGCAGAGAUAUGGAGGAACACCAGUGGCGAAGGCGACUUUCUGGUCUGUAACUGACGCUGAUGUGCGAAAGCGUGGGGAUCAAACAGGAUUAGAUACCCUGGUAGUCCACGCCGUAAACGAUGAGUGCUAAGUGUUAGGGGGUUUCCGCCCCUUAGUGCUGCAGCUAACGCAUUAAGCACUCCGCCUGGGGAGUACGACCGCAAGGUUGAAACUCAAAGGAAUUGACGGGGACCCGCACAAGCGGUGGAGCAUGUGGUUUAAUUCGAAGCAACGCGAAGAACCUUACCAAAUCUUGACAUCCUUUGACAACUCUAGAGAUAGAGCUUUCCCCUUCGGGGGACAAAGUGACAGGUGGUGCAUGGUUGUCGUCAGCUCGUGUCGUGAGAUGUUGGGUUAAGUCCCGCAACGAGCGCAACCCUUAAGCUUAGUUGCCAUCAUUAAGUUGGGCACUCUAAGUUGACUGCCGGUGACAAACCGGAGGAAGGUGGGGAUGACGUCAAAUCAUCGUGCCCCUUAUGAUAUGGGCUACACACGUGCUACAAUGGACAAUACAAAGGGCAGCGAAACCGUGAGGUCAAGCAAAUCCCAUAAAGUUGUUCUCAGUUCGGAUUGUAGUCUGCAACUCGACUACAUGAAGCUGGAAUCGCUAGUAAUCGUAGAUCAGCAUGCUACGGUGAAUACGUUCCCGGGUCU
rnacentral:rRNA from 1 species